rnacentral:rRNA from 1 species
AUGGGGCUCUCCUUCGUGGUGCUGAUAUGGUGUGCCGCUGCCGGUGAGAGUAAGCAGGCUGCGAAGGCGGAGGUUGCCGCUCCUGCAGCUGCUUGGCCCUCUCUUCCUUGGCAUCGAGUUCUUCUUCGACCUUGGCCGCACGCCGAGAGAGGAAAGAAGGACACGAUGGAUGUCAACAUGAAGAGGGCAGAGGACGUGCUGAUGCACAAGCGGCUCCUGGAGCUGGCCAAGGAUUCGGUGCAGCGCCAGGCUUUCGCCGUGGGGGCCGUGCAAUUAUGUUGUCAUGGCUGCGAACGUGAAUUAACAGAGCAAACCUUAAUGAUCAGAUCAAGAGCCACUUCAUUCAUGAGGCUGCUGAGCAGAGCUGGUAGGCAUCGUGAUGGACAGGGCGAUCACAGCGGACGGGGCACCAAUGGCGGCUGCUUGCCCCCACCCCAUUGGGAGCCCUCCAUGACGGCGCACGGGAGGAAGCGAUAG